UCCCUGGUGGCUCAGAUGGUAAAGCAUCUGCCUACAGUGCAGGAGACCAGGGUUCGAUCCCUGGGUCGGGAA
rnacentral:tRNA from 1 species